GACGAACGCUGGCGGCGUGCUUAACACAUGCAAGUCGAACGGAAAGGCCCUGCUUGCAGGGUACUCGAGUGGCGAACGGGUGAGUAACACGUGGGUGAUCUGCCCUGCACUUCGGGAUAAGCUUGGGAAACUGGGUCUAAUACCGGAUAGGAGCCAUCUUUAGUGUGGUGGUUGGAAAGUUUUUUCGGUGUAGGAUGAGCUCGCGGCCUAUCAGCUUGUUGGUGGGGUAAUGGCCUACCAAGGCGGCGACGGGUAGCCGGCCUGAGAGGGUGUACGGCCACAUUGGGACUGAGAUACGGCCCAGACUCCUACGGGAGGCAGCAGUGGGGAAUAUUGCACAAUGGGCGCAAGCCUGAUGCAGCGACGCCGCGUGGGGGAUGAAGGCCUUCGGGUUGGAAACUCCUUUCGCUAGGGACGAAGCUUUUUGUGACGGUACCUAGAGAAGAAGCACCGGCUAACUACGUG
rnacentral:rRNA from 1 species